rnacentral:rRNA from 1 species
AGCAGCCGCGGUAAUUCCAGCUCCAAUAGCGUAUAUUAAAGUUGUUGCAGUUAAAAAGCUCGUAGUUGAAUUUCGGGAUCAAUAUGUCGGUCGUGCCUUCGGUACGUACUGGUAUCAUUGGUCUCUCCUUUCUGACGAACCAUGAUGUCAUUAAUUUGGUGUUAUGGGGAGUUAGGACUGUUACUUUGAAAAAAUUAGAGUGUUUAAAGCAGGCUUUAGCUUGAAUACAUUAGCAUGGAAUAAUGAAAUAGGACGUUCGAACCUAUUUUGUUGGUUUCUAGGAUCAACGUAAUGAUUAAUAGGGAUAGUUGGGGGCAUUAGUAUUCAAUUGUCAGAGGUGAAAUUCUUGGAUUUAUUGAAGACUAACUACUGCGAAAGCAUUUGCCAAGGAUGUUUUCAUUAAUCAAGAACGAAAGUUAGGGAUCGAAGA